GUGAAGAUGGCUCAGUGGUCAAGAGCACUGGCUGCUUUUCCAGAGGACCUGGGUUUGAAUCUCAGCACCCACA
rnacentral:tRNA from 1 species